rnacentral:misc_RNA from 1 species
AAAUGCGAUAAGUAAUGUGAAUUGCAGAAUUCAGUGAAUCAUCGAAUCUUUGAACGCACCUUGCGCUCCUUGGUAUUCCUUGGAGCAUGCCUGUUUGAGUAUCAUGAAAUCUUCAAAGUAAAUCUUUUGUUAACUCAAUUGGUUUCUACUUUGGUAUUGGAGGUCUUUGCAGCUUCACACCUGCUCCUCUUUGUUCAUUAGCUGGAUCUCAGUGUUAUGCUUGGUUCCACUCGGCGUGAUAAGUUAUCUAUCGCUGAGGACACUGUAAAAGGUGGCCAAGGUAAAUGCAGAUGAACCGCUUCUAAUAGUCCAUUGACUUGGACAAUACUUUUAUGAUCUGAUCUCAAAUCAGGUAGGACUACCCGCUGAACUUAAAC